AUGAACCUCAUUGUAAGUGCGGCACACACUAGUUUUCUCUCGCAACGGAAACGAAACCAAAACUCUCACCUCUCUCUCUGUAUAAAGGCGCGAAAACGAUUCUCUCUUUCUCGCCGAUCCGCCACCACCGCAACAAGUUCACACUCUAAUGUAAUCUCUCUUUCUCGCCGAUCCGCCACCACCGCAACAAGUUCACACUCUAACGUUCAUCACUCACUACAUUCUCUUCUCUCCGUAUAG